UACAGAGGGUGCAAGCGUUAAUCGGAAUUACUGGGCGUAAAGCGAGCGUAGUCGGUUGUCUAAGUCGGAUGUGAAAGCCCCGGGCUCAACCUGGGAAUUGCAUUCGAUACUGGGCAGCUAGAGUUCGGCAGAGGGAAGCGGAAUUUCCGGUGUAGCGGUGAAAUGCGUAGAUAUCGGAAGGAACAUCAGUGGCGAAGGCGACUACCUGGCCUGUUCUUGACGCUGAGGCGCGAAAGCCAUGGGAGCAAACGGG
rnacentral:rRNA from 1 species